AGCGAGGCGCGUGUAUAUAAUAUUAUAAUAUAUACAAUAUUAUGUAUAGGGUAUAGAAGGGCGCCGCGAACGGGUGUGGUGCGACGGGGGUCGAGGGGACAUGGUGUGAAAUAGAGUGUGAGUGAGAGAGAGAGAGAGGAAAAAAAGGCAAAUUUAGAUCGACGUGGUUCAAAAAACACCGCCGAAAGGGUUAAACGCACCACAGAAGAGAGCAUAUUUAAAUAUUACUAGUCGACGGUGGAGGACACACGGGACGCGCGCUCAAAACUGUACUGAAAAUCUGAAACUGCGAUUGUUGCCGCUAUCUCCCGGGCCGAGGACGUGGUAUCGCGUUACUCGGAAAUCCUUUUUGGCUCGUUGGGAGAGGAUCGCUCGAGACCGCCCUAUGUAAAUAACCGUAAUCAGAACCGUCGGGGAUUACAAUAAUUAUCGGGUCUUAAAGACGAAUAUAUAAUAACGAGAACGUUUCAAUAUAAUGAUGUGAUGUGAAGGGAUUGUAUCACUGCCAAUUAAGAUAAUAUGUUUUAAUAUUAAUAAUAAUAAUAUAUACGUUCCAAGUCGAUAAUGAAUGAUACAAGCUUAAUGGCUUAUGCGCCAUAUUUCAGUCGAAUCGCAUGACAAUUACCGACUCAAAGUACCGAUUAUAUGGGGCAGGCGCGCGGUGUGUCACAGAAGGCAUGGUUUUUAAUAUAAAUCGUCCAAAAACAAAGGGAUAUUCAAAAUUUUCUUUUCAAUCGCAAUCAACAUGUACUCCAAUUUCCAAUUUAAUAAUUUAAAAAAUGAUAUCCGUCCAGUAUAAUGUGUACACUUCCACUUUUUCUGAAGGUCGUGCGUGGUUUAUUCAAGUCAAAUUGGCACUUAUCCACAUAGAAAGAAGAUAUUAUGAGUGACACAAAUGAAGUUAGAGUCCAUUCCUUGACGCCAUCGCGGUUAAGACCAAACGUUCCGGGAAUUGUCCAAGCAACGUGUGUAAAUAUAGAAGCCUUGUGCUGCUGAUAGCAGCUGUGCUGAGCUGAAAGAUUUUUAGAGAUAUUAUCACUGCCUACAACAGACAAUUAUUGCUGCAAUAAUUACAGAAUAUCAACACAGUAUGAAAUCCACAGAUAAAACAAUUAUAAAUAAUAAUUUUGUAAUAUAAAUAUUUAUAUUUUUGAGUAUA